rnacentral:rRNA from 1 species
GAAGUUUUCAGAGAUGAGAAUGUGCCUUCGGGAACCGUGAGACAGGUGCUGCAUGGCUGUCGUCAGCUCGUGUUGUGAAAUGUUGGGUUAAGUCCCGCAACGAGCGCAACCCUUAUCCUUUGUUGCCAGCGGUCCGGCCGGGAACUCAAAGGAGACUGCCAGUGAUAAACUGGAGGAAGGUGGGGAUGACGUCAAGUCAUCAUGGCCCUUACGACCAGGGCUACACACGUGCUACAAUGGCGCAUACAAAGAGAAGCGACCUCGCGAGAGCAAGCGGACCUCAUAAAGUGCGUCGUAGUCCGGAUUGGAGUCUGCAACUCGACUCCAUGAAGUCGGAAUCGCUAGUAAUCGUGGAUCAGAAUGCCACGGUGAAUACGUUCCCGGGCCUUGUACACACCGCCCGUCACACCAU